rnacentral:lncRNA from 1 species
AAGAGAUUAAUUGCAACUGUGAGGCUAGGUUACUCGAAUUCAGGGAUGUGGGACUUGGGCAUAUAUCAAAAGGACACGGUUACGUGAAGGAAAAAUAAAAGUAUCUGAGAAACAUGGCUUCUGAAAUUAUGAAUACUUGCUGUCCAAGGCCUCUGAGAAUCUUUCUUUUCCCUUUUCUUUUACAACUUUAAAUGAAAUCCAAGGAAAAAGCAG